rnacentral:rRNA from 1 species
AGUGAACGCUGGCGGUAGGCCUAACACAUGCAAGUCGAACGGCAGCACAGUAAGAGCUUGCUCUUACGGGUGGCGAGUGGCGGACGGGUGAGGAAUACAGCGGAAUCUACUUUUUCGUGGGGGAUAACGUAGGGAAACUUACGCUAAUACCGCAUACGACCUACGGGUGAAAGCAGGGGAUCUUCGGACCUUGCGCGAUUGAAUGAGCCGAUGUCGGAUUAGCUAGUUGGUGGGGUAAAGGCCCACCAAGGCGACGAUCCGUAGCUGGUCUGAGAGGAUGAUCAGCCACACUGGAACUGAGACACGGUCCAGACGCCUACGGGAGGCAGCAGUGGGGAAUAUUGGACAAUGGGCGCAAGCCUGAUCCAGCCAUACCGCGUGGGUGAAGAAGGCCUUCGGGUUGUAAAGCCCUUUUGUUGGGAAAGAAAAGCAGCAGGUUAAUACCCCGCUGUUCUGACGGUACCCAAAGAAUAAGCACCGGCUAACUUCGUG